rnacentral:rRNA from 1 species
CAGUCGCCGCGGUAAUACAGAGGGUGCAAGCGUUAAUCGGAUUUACUGGGCGUAAAGGGCGCGUAGGUGGUUAUGUAAGUGAGAUGUGAAAUCCCCGGGCUCAACCGGGGAACUGCAUCUUAUACUGCGUAGCUGGAGUGCAGUAGAGGGUAGUGGAAUUUCCGGUGUAGCGGUGAAAUGCGUAGAGAUCGGAAGGAACGUCAAUGGCGAAGGCAGCCGCCUGGCUUAAUACCGACGCUGAGGCGCGAAAGCGUGGGGAGCGAACAGGAUUAGAUACCCCUGUAGUCCCUGUCUCUUAUAC